CAAGAGUAAGAGAGAGAGAGAAGAGAAUACAUAACAGGGAAAGAGAGCAGGCAGGAGGGUGGGGGGAACCAUUACAAGGCCGGGAGAGAAUACAAAACACCCCAGUCUGAUUGCAGUGGCAUUGAGAAAAACAAACAGCAAUAGAAUCACAGGAUGAAGUCUGCAGGAGGGAAAUUCAACUUGGCUAUGCCUCAUAAGAUCUAUCACAGCAGGGCUCCCCCCCUUGAGGACUUGAUGCACCACUCUGAUUUAAACUUUUGAUGCUCAUUCCAAAAAAAGAAGCAAAAGCUUCUCUGCUGUGAAAGAAAGAAAGAAAGAAAAAAAGAAAGAAAGCGUAGGGAAAAAUUGUUCUGGAAAGCAAAAACACUUGAAAUAUGGUAGGUGAUAGGGUAUUGGUUAAGUAUUGACUCAAAGGGAAGUGUGCCACCAACCGAAUCACCAUUGGCACUUCCUGUAGCACAUAGAUAUUCCUGAGAGCUCUCUCAUGCAAGUUCUGAUCUACCCUAACCUUGCUUAGUGUGUGUGAUAGGCUGAUAACAGAACCUAAAACAAUAAAGGAAU